GACGUAGGUGGCGAACGUUAUCCGGAAUUAUUGGGCGUAAAGGGUGCGUAGGUGGCCUGGCAAGUUAUUAGUGGUAAAUCGAGGCUCAACCUCGUGGAAACUAGUAAUACUGUUUUGCUUGAGUACAGAAGAGGUUAACGGAACUCCAUGUGGAGCGGUAAAAUGCGUAGAUAUAUGGAAGAACACCAAUAACGGCGAAGGCAGUUAACUAUUCUGUUACUGACAUUGAGGCACGAAAGCGUGGGGAGCAAAACGG
rnacentral:rRNA from 1 species